UCCUCACUCCAGGUACCCUGUUGAAAGUCCCACGGGCCGGGACAUCUGGCGCCACAACGUGGGGCUUGGAUUCUGAGGCAGCAGUGAGGGAGACGAUGUGAAAAGUUCGACAAGUUUUGAGACACAUCUGAGCUGCUGUGGGAACCUACCUCGGCUGAAACCGAAAGCAAAGGACACAUGAAUCGCAUUGGAUGGAAACUGUUGGCUGCUAUCAUCGCCUUCACAUUCAUCGUCAUCUGUGCCUUCAUUCUUGCGCUGAUCUGCCUCAAAGUCAUCAGAGAACUACAGUUCAAUUCAACAAAAUGUGGCUGGCAUCAAUGACCUGGCAGAUUCACUUUCCUCCCUGGCCGAGGUGGUCCUUCAGAACCGGUGUGGACUAGACCUCCUAUUCCUACAGCAAGGAGGACUUUGUGCAGCUCUUAAAGAAGAAUGCUGUUUUUACCUAGAUAAGACUGGUACUGUAAAAGAUAGCAUGAAGAUCUUGAGGGAGGGGCUGGAGUGGCGCAAAAGGGAAAGGGAUCAACAGGAUAGUUGGUAUAAAAAUUGGUUUUCCACAUCACCUUGGGUUUCAACCCUCUUGCCCACCAU